UUGGUGGGUUUUCUUUGCCCUUUAUCCUACAAAACUUCUCCAAGAUGUCCCCUCUGUAAGAGCCUUCUUCGACUCAGCACACUGUAUGUAAGGAGAGAACGCAGGAUGAACUCCACCACAGGAAAAGCUGAUGUCUAGAUCCCCCCCCCCCCCCCGAGCAUUGGAUGUCCAUGGGGAAUGGCGCCAAGUUGCUGAGUCAGCACCGGGAUUGUGAUACUGUAGUGAUGUCGUCAUUGAUGUCCAGAAGGAUGAAGCUGGCUCAUCCACUAACUACUGAAGGAAACAGAGCAUCUGUCACAUCUGCCACGGAGCUCUGAUGACCUGUAACUGCACCAGCAAGCUGAGCUGACUUAGGAAAGGAGAUAUUCAAACCUUAAUACUUGUGGAGAAAGACACGAGAAAGAACAUGAAUCCCACAGAGAACAGUCCUUCUGACUCCAAAAGCAUGAGGCCGGGAACGAGGAGUGUUCAUCAGGCAAGCUUGCAGCUGCUCAGGCAGAGAGCUCUUGGCCAGCAUGAUGCUCUUCUUGUUCUCCUUCACUUGGGCCUUGAAGCUUGUAGAGCUGAGUAACUGAUCGACGCCCACAUUCUUACAAGAGCUCAGAUGUGAGAAACCCCGUAAGUGUCUCCAGAGAUUCAGCUUCCCAGAUUUCCCAUAGAGGUUUGUGACUUUUGAAUCCUUAAAUGGGUACAGGUUGGCCUAGAGAGGACAACCCACCAGGUACAGAGCUGUAUUGUCACCAAGCUAUAGGGCACUCAGCUAGAAAGCACCACUGAAUCACGAAGGUGAAGUGCCCACUUGGUGAUGUUCAGGAAUUGGUGGUUCCAUGUUGAACUUUCUUGGAAUCCAAGAGCAGAACUCCGCUGGGGAGUUCCCAGGGCUUCCCAAAAGUGCCCUGCCCUUAAUCCCUUCUUGAGGAAAAAUUGUUGAGGAGGGAAGUUCCAGAGCCUGCGAAGGGUGGCCUGGAUUGGUUGAGCAUCUGACCAGAGACAGCGAGUCUUCCGGCAUCUGGAACAUCUUAGAAUUUAGGGAGUUAGCCAGGUUUUGUGUUUGUACACAGACAGUAUCUCAUCUAAACUCCCCAUGCAGCCUACGUCAGCCUCAGCUAGACCAGUGUCCUCAAAGGCAACAGAAUCUCAGAGUUUACUCCAUUGGCUAAUUCCUCUUUGCCUAACUAAGUCAAGGUGCUUCUCUAUGUAAGAAAUGUUUCACUAACGUGCCAGCUUACCCAAGCCAGCUGGGAGUGGUUGGGAACUUAAGUGUCCCAUCCCUAGCCUGCAGGCUCCUAUCCCAGUACUCGCAGGCCAAGAACCUGGGACUGUCUCCAGCAUUUGGUGCACGGCAGACACUGAGCCUAGGAGCCACCAGGGAGUUUUCAGCCACUGAAAGGAGAUGAGGUGUCAAGAGGGACAUGAUGAACCUCUUGAAGGGUGAGCCUUGUGGUUUCUCCCAAUUUGUUUCCUUGGUCCGCAUGCUGAGAGGCCAUGUCCCUUCCAGAUCUCUAUGCCAUGGAUCCACUGGGGGUGGGAGUAGGCGUGUAGUAUACGGUUCUCUGACCCACUCUGAGUUGCAUGUUGCCUCUCUUGAUAUUGGUCAGCCUGAGAAGACCCAAGGACUAUUCUUUGGACCGAGAGAAGUUCAUCCCUUCUGCAGAACCCAACGCAGCAGACACAUGAAGCACUAUGGAGCUUGUAGACAUGAGCCUUGAGUAGCAACUAGGCCUAGCUCCCUUUCCCAUACAGACUGCCACAGGGGUGGCUGGAAGGAAAGAGCUGAGUGUUCACCUUCGGCCUGAACAGUGGGUACACUCAGAAAUGGCCAAGAGCUGGUGUCAGACCUUUCUACACACACAGGAAGAGUCCCAGAGUCACUACAGGAACUUUGCAUGUCCCUGUGAAAGUCCCAGUCAUCUUUCAACCACAGUACCUCCAAAGUACUCAUGUAGGCAUGCUGGCCUCCUGAAGGAUAAAAAUCCGUUACAGGGAAGACUGACCAACCUAGGACAAGAAAAGCCAGUCAACAGAGGGUGAGUCACAAGAGUGAUAGGGCACUCUGAUAGGGCAGUGGCCCCUGGUGCCUCUACUGUCUGAAUCUCUAGUCUUGACCUUUCUGGAUACUGGUAUAGCAGGAACGCAGACAGAGGGCAGGAAUUGUGUCAUGAUCAGUCCAACUCUGUCCUUUCCCUUCCCAGUUUCACCAUAUGUGCACUGACUCCUCUUCUCAAGGAUGCGAUCAUAUGAAUAGAUCACAAUGAUAGAUAAUGUUGGACCACACCCCUACUGCAUGUCAGGGAUUCAGCUCCCUGAAAGAAGGAUGGUUCUGUUCUUGGGCUUUGCUGGCCUCUCUCUUUCCUGUAGACUCUGAGCCUCCUUGAGAACAGCAAGCAACCUGUCCCCUCCCUGUCCAUUCUGCAGAGGAGGCCUGUUGUUCCCAAGCUCUGGAACAUCCAAGUCUUCCAAUGCAUUUGUUUUGGUCAUGACAACUGUAUGAGCCAGGACCACUACUCAGGGUACUCACAUUCCUGGGCACACAGGUUAAUUCUUAGAAUGCUUAAAUCUUAAGCAUGCUUAAAUCUCUCUAAAGGAGAAGGAUGAUCAGCAGAGGUCAAGGUUACAGCAUUGUUCUAUGCUGUGUUUACUCAACAGCCACUUUAUAAUCAAAAGUAUUAAACAAAAUUUCAAAACACUGGCAACAUAUUGAAAGGAAACUUUAAAGAGUUAUUUUUCAUUCUUGUAUUUCAACUAAGAUGAUGACAAAUAUUGUUAUGAUUUUGAAAAUAAGGAAUGAAAACAGAUGUUCAAUGGGGCCUACAAAGUAGGCGGUACAGCAUGAGUUUGAACUGUCCCAUUGGCCUCAGCCUUGCUGGAAAGUUGGAAGAUGCACGGGGCCCGUUCCCUACCCUGCAGAGAAUCCACACAUUCGUACCAUCAACAUUUGCAGUGUUCAACCAUUUGGACCUUCUCUCUUUCCGUCCCCAUUGCUAGUCACUUUGGAGACUUCAGCUAUAGAGGCCAAAGGUACUGGAGGAAGUGUAGGGAGCGGAAUGGACAGAAGAGCCCAUAUUGAGGGAUUGAGAUUAUUCACCUGUAACCAAGAAAAGUGUGAGUCUGUUCCUAUGUGCUGGAGCAGUAGGAACACUUUCUUCUCAUUCUGAUUAUUGAGGAUCCUUACAUCCCCACAGAUUGAGAAUUAAGUAAUGGAGUAAAUAGACCCGGGAGUGUUUCAGAACCAGAGAGGAAGAACACUUUCUGAAAUGUGGUGCCAACCCCUGUGUGCAUUGACAGGAAGCGAGAUAGGUUCUCAGUUCUGAAAUUCAGUGUUUGAAAGUCUGCAGUCUCUUCUCAAGCCGUGCCCUUGGCUGUAAGCCCCUGUAAAAUAAAAAGCAUGUCACGUCUGUUACA